rnacentral:rRNA from 1 species
CGUAGGGAGCAAGCGUUGUUCGGAUUAACUGGGCGUAAAGGGCGCGUAGGCGGCGUGUUAAGUCAGCUGUGAAAUCUCCAAGCUCAACUUGGAACGGCCAGCUGAUACUGAUGUGCUAGAGUGCAGAAGGGGCAAUCGGAAUUCUUGGUGUAGCGGUGAAAUGCGUAGAUAUCAAGAGGAACACCUGAGGUGAAGACGGGUUGCUGGGCUGACACUGACGCUGAGGCGCGAAAGCCAGGGGAGCAAACGGGAUUAGAUACCCCGGUAGUCCUGGCCCUAAACGAUGAAUACUUGGUGUCUGGAGUUUCAAUACUCCGGGUGCCGUCGCUAACGUUUAAGUAUUCCGCCUGGGGAGUACGCACGCAAGUGUG